GUGAACGCUGGCGGUAGGCCUAACACAUGCAAGUCGCACGGCAGCACAGUAAGAGCUUGCUCUUACGGGUGGCGAGUGGCGGACGGGUGAGGAAUACAUCGGAAUCUACUUUUUCGUGGGGGAUAACGUAGGGAAACUUACGCUAAUACCGCAUACGACCUACGGGUGAAAGCAGGGGAUCUUCGGACCUUGCGCGAUUGAAUGAGCCGAUGUCGGAUUAGCUAGUUGGCGGGGUAAAGGCCCACCAAGGCGACGAUCCGUAGCUGGUCUGAGAGGAUGAUCGGCCACACUGGAGCUGAGACGCGGUCCAGACUCCUGCGGGAGGCAGCAGUGGGGAAUAUUGGACAAUGGGCGCAAGCCUGAUCCAGCCAUACCGCGUGGGUGAAGAAGGCCUUCGGGUUGUAAAGCCCUUUUGUUGGGAAAGAAAAGCAGCAGGUUAAUACCCCGCUGUUCUGACGGUACCCAAAGAAUAAGCACCGGCUAACUUCGUG
rnacentral:rRNA from 1 species